rnacentral:rRNA from 1 species
GACGAACGCUGGCGGCGUGCUUAACACAUGCAAGUCGAACGGUAAGGCCCUUCGGGGUACACGAGUGGCGAACGGGUGAGUAACACGUGGGUGAUCUGCCCUGCACUUCGGGAUAAGCCUGGGAAACUGGGUCUAAUACCGGAUAGGACCACUGCCUGCAUGGGUGGUGGUGGAAAGCUUUUGCGGUGUGGGUUGGGCCCGCGGCCUAUCAGCUUGUUGGUGGGGUGAUGGCCUACCAAGGCGACGACGGGUAGCCGGCCUGAGAGGGUGACCGGCAGCGGUGGGACUGGGAGACGGCCGAGACCCCUACGGGAGGCAGCGGUGGGGAAUAUUGCGCAAUGGGCGCAAGCCUGAUGCAGGGACGCCGCGUGAGGGAUGACGGCCUUCGGGUUGUAAACCUCUUUCAGCACCGACGAAGCGCAAGUGACGGUAGGUGCAGAAGAAGGACCGGCCAACUACGUGCCAGCAGCCGCCGUAA